CCCCGCGCCCGUUCCNCCGCCCCCNCCCGACGGGGUGCAGCAGGCGCGAAACCUUUACACUGCACGCAAGUGCGAUAAGGGGACCCCAAGUGCGAGGGCAUAUAGUCCUCGCUUUUCNCGACUGUAAGGCGGUCGUGGAAUAAGAGCUGGGCAAGACCGGUGCCAGCCGCCGCGGUAAUACCGGCAGCUCAAGUGAUGACCGAUAUUAUUGGGCCUAAAGCGUCCGUAGCCGGCCACGAAGGUUCAUCGGGAAAUCCGCCAGCUCAACUGGCGGGCGUCCGGUGAAAACCACGUGGCUUGGGACCGGAAGGCUCGAGGGGUACGUCCGGGGUAGGAGUGAAAUCCCGUAAUCCUGGACGGACCACCGAUGGCGAAAGCACCUCGAGAAGACGGAUCCGACGGUGAGGGACGAAAGCUAGGGUCUCGAACCGGAUUAGAUACCCGGGUAGUCCUAGCUGUAAACGAUGCUCGCUAGGUGUGACACAGGCUACGAGCCUGUGUUGUGCCGUAGGGAAGCCGAGAAGCGAGCCGCCUGGGAAGACUCCGCAAGAUNA
rnacentral:rRNA from 1 species